AUAUCAAUAAGCGGAGGAAAAGAAACUAACAAGGAUUCCCCUAGUAACGGCGAGUGAAGCGGGAUGAGCUCAAAUUUAAAAUCUGGCUGGCUUACGUCAGUCCGAAGUUGUAGUUUAUAGAAGCGUUUUCGGUGGCAGCCUGGGUAUAAAUCCUUUGGAACUAGGGUAUCAUAGAGGGUGAGAAUCCCGUCUCUGACUCAGUGCCAUGCUACUAUGUGAUACGUCUUCAAAGAGUCGAGUUGUUUGGGAAUGCAGCUCAAAAUGGGUGGUAAAUCUCAUCUAAGGCUAAAUAUCGGCGAGAGACCGAUAGCGAACAAGUACCGUGAGGGAAAGAUGAAAAGAACUUUGAAAAGAGAGUUAAACAGUGC
rnacentral:rRNA from 1 species